GAAUGGUCAUAAUCGUCGAAAGUGCAAGGCUCCUAUACCUGGAUAGAAUAGUUAUAUAAUUGCUAAUUCUAGUGGAGUUAUUUUGUAAGGUGUUAAGGCCUUAAAUAUGGAAUUAUUUUGUAAUUACUAUUAAUUCCUUGGAGCUCCCCUACUGCAUUAGUAUAACUAUGUUGUGAUAGUAUUUCUAACUUAUUUAGAAAACAUUUCUAAGUAUGAUGUAACUUAUUCUAAGUUGAAUCUGUAUUAUUCGUCUGGUGGUUUAUUUUGGUAUUGAAAUUAUUUUCCUGGGUCCUCGUAUGAGUCUCAUGUGGAGUGUUAUUUAAAAAUCAUAGGUGUGUGAGUUUUCUGGCAGCUGGAGGGUCGUGAAAGCAAGGAGGUUAUGGGAUUAUGUGACAAUGGACGGGCUUACAUGUUACAUGCUUACGGAAGGCUAGGAAAAUAACAUCAUAUUAAAGUCAUUAUGACUUGUUUCCUCACUAUUAAUUCCUUGGAGCUCCCCUACUGCAUUAUGACUGUUAUUUCAACCACAAUUUACCUCAUGAGGCUGAAUGGAUAAAUCAGUACAAAGGAAGAGUGUUCAGUUUAAACGACAAGCCUGUGGUGCAUAAAAUUUGGCUGCCGAAUGAGGAAUGCCCCAGAUUGGCAAUGUCUAGAGCCUUUGGGGACUACUUUAUUAAGGAUUUUGGACUUAUAUCCGUCCCUGAAGUGAGGUGUUGUCACAUAUAACCAGCAGAGACCAAUUUGUUGUGUUGCGAACCGAUGAGUCUUCCCGCUAGGGGCUGGGAAGAGAUAACAACGGGAGCGUCGAUUGCAUGGCUAUCAAGUACAUCAAAUUUGAAUUGGACACAAAAAUGUCGCGAUUCCCUCUCUCCGAUCAGAAACUUCGAAGGCAAAAUUUGUGCGAAAAA